UGGGGAAUAUUGCACAAUGGGGGAAACCCUGAUGUAGCGACGCCGCGUGAACGAAGAAGGUAUUCGUAUCGUAAAGUUCUGUCCUAUGGGAAGAUAAUGACAGUACCAUAGAAGAAAGCUCCGGCUAAAUACGUGCCAGCAGCCGCGGUAAUACGUAUGGAGCGAGCGUUGUCCGGAAUUAUUGGGCGUAAAGGGUACGCAGGCGGUUUAAUAAGUCGAAUGUUAAAGAUCGGGGCUCAACCCCGCAAAGCAUUGGAAACUGAUAAACUUGAGUAGUGGAGAGGAAAGUGGAAUUCCUAGUGUAGUGGUGGAAUACGUAGAUAUUAGGAAGAAUACCAGUAGCGAAGGCGACUUUCUGGACACAAACUGACGCUGAAGUACGAAAGCGUGGGGAGCAAACAGG
rnacentral:rRNA from 1 species